rnacentral:rRNA from 1 species
UACAGAGGUCUCAAGCGUUGUUCGGAUUCAUUGGGCGUAAAGGGUGCGUAGGCGGCGCGGUAAGUCGGGUGUGAAAUCUCGGAGCUUAACUCCGAAACUGCAUUCGAUACUGCCGUGCUUAGAGGACUGGAGAGGAGACUGGAAUUUACGGUGUAGCGGUGAAAUGCGUAGAUAUCGUAAGGAAGACCAGUGGCGAAGGCGGGUCUCUGGACAGUUCCUGACGCUGAGGCACGAAGGCCAGGGGAGCAAACGGG